UUAAGCAUAUCAAUAAGCGGAGGAAAAGAAACCAACCGGGAUUGCCUCAGUAACGGCGAGUGAAGCGGCAAGAGCUCAAAUUUGAAAGCUGGCCCCUUCGGGGUCCGCAUUGUAAUUUGCAGAGGAUGCUUCGGGUGCAGCCCCCGUCUAAGUGCCCUGGAACGGGCCGUCGUAGAGGGUGAGAAUCCCGUAUGGGGCGGGGUGUCUGCGUCCGUGUGAAGCUCCUUCGACGAGUCGAGUUGUUUGGGAAUGCAGCUCUAAAUGGGUGGUAAAUUUCAUCUAAAGCUAAAUACUGGCCGGAGACCGAUAGCGCACAAGUAGAGUGAUCGAAAGAUGAAAAGCACUUUGAAAAGAGAGUUAAAUAGCACGUGAAAUUGUUGAAAGGGAAGCGCUUGCAACCAGACUCGCCUCCGGGGUUCAGCCGGCCUUCGGGCCGGUGUACUUCCCCGGGGGCGGGCCAGCGUCGGUUUGGGCGGCCGGUCAAAGGCCUCCGGAAUGUAGCGCCCUUCGGGGCGCCUUAUAGCCGGGGGUGCAAUGCGGCCAGCCUGGACCGAGGAACGCGCUUCGGCACGGACGCUGGCAUAAUGGUUGUAAACGACCCGUCUUGAAACACGGACCAAGGAGUCUAACAUCUACGCGAGUGUUCGGGUGUCAAACCCGUACGCGCAGUGAAAGCGAACGGAGGUGGGAGCCCCUUCCGGGGCGCACCAUCGACCGAUCCUGAUGUCUUCGGAUGGAUUUGAGUAAGAGCGUACAUGUGGGGACCCGAAAGAUGGUGAACUAUGCCUGAAUAGGGCGAAGCCAGAGGAAACUCUGGUGGAGGCUCGCAGCGGUUCUGACGUGCAAAUCGAUCGUCAAAUUUGGGUAUAGGGGCGAAAGACUAAUCGAACCAUCUAGUAGCUGGUUCCUGCCGAAGU
rnacentral:rRNA from 1 species